UACGGAGGGUGCGAGCGUUGUCCGGAAUCAUUGGGCGUAAAGGGCGCGUAGGUGGCCCGGUCAGUUUGUGGUGAAAGCGCGGGGCUCAACUCCGCGUCGGCCAUGAAUACUGCUGGGCUUGAGCACUGUAGAGGCAGGCGGAAUUCCGGGUGUAGCGGUGGAAUGCGUAGAGAUCCGGAAGAACACCGGUGGCGAAGGCGGCCUGCUGGGCAGUAGCUGACACUGAGGCGCGACAGCGUGGGGAGCAAACAGG
rnacentral:rRNA from 1 species